rnacentral:lncRNA from 1 species
GGACCAGGCUGCUUGUGUUGACAUACUGGGCCUGCUCAGGGUGUGCCAGGCAAUGGCAGAAGUAGGGAGAUGGACUAAGAAGCCACUAGAAAGCAAGCAGAGCCCCAGGAUCCCUGGCCCUGGGGUGACUUGGAGGCUGUGAGCAGUGGCCAGAGGCUGGGCGGGUUUAAAAUAGACCUGCUGGGCUUGCUGCAGGCUCAUGUGGGCUUGAGUGACUACACAUCUGUCUGUCCGUCUGCUUCGGUCCCGGCUUAUGUAACAGGGAACCGGCUCGCCUUGGCUGUGGGAGAUGGAGAGGAGCUCAGUGCUACUGGGAGCACUGAGGUGGGGACGUGGCUACCGACCGAUGGCAGAAGAUGGAGAGAGGCGCGCAUGGCACUCCUAAGCAAAAAGGAAGAACCUCAACCCUAACCCAGAAUGUUACUGUGACCAGAUCCUCGCGAUGCCUUACUCAAACCUGACAGCUGCUCCCACCAAGGUUCAACAGGAUAUCUCCCUGGAGCCUCCCCAGGACUGGGGAUUGAAUCCAGGGCCUUUGUAUGGAGCUACAUCCCCAGCUCUUCGUUAGGUUCAAACUUGUGAUUCUCUUGCCUCAGCAUCCCAAAAUGCUGGGAUUCCAGAGGUGCACCACCAUGUCCCUCCAUAUUUUUUCUAAGAUGCCUGAAGACAAUAUAAAAGUGGUUGUGUGCCAGCAGGUAGUGCUCUGGAGGAAGCAUGCGUUAAGGAACGCCUGUAAGACAUGGCUUUACCCAAAAACACCCAUAUAAUCUUCACGGACCAGCUAACUCACCUGUGUCAAUGGUCCGGUUUUGGCUGAGUGUGCUUUAAGGAAGCUAUGCUCCUUGCUCACCAGUAGGACUUAAGGGCUAGUUUAUUUACUCUCAGUUCUUAACCAAGAGCAUCUGACUAGCUCAAAUGACUGAGAUAUAACAUAGAUUGCACGUGUCCGCCUUGGUGCCAGUGGCUUUAAAUUCACCAUCAGUUACAAUGAGAAGUAGAACUAGUAAGUGGGCAUUUACUAGACUCUGGACAGAAUGCCUACCAAACAACUAGAAAACUUCCUGCAAGCGACUGACUUCCAUAAUCAACAAAAACAAGCAACUCUGAUAGUUUGUAGUUUACAAAACAAAUGCACUUUGCAAAUUUAGUCAAAUUACUUGAUCUCUGCUUCAGUUUCAUCUGUAAAGUAAGGAUGAUAUAUCUAUGCUUCAUGGUUUGAGUUCACACAGAGGAAGAGAGCUAGUUAAUGCUAACUAUUCAAAAGUACUGUAGUUCCUUUCUAGUAAGGUUUUUUCUAAAAGGCCUCCUUCUUUUGACACCAAUGCCUCUAUAUUCUAGAAAGCACAGUGACCACACAGAACUAGAAUUAAAGAGAAUUACUUGAAGUAUACUCUGCAAAGCCAUCUUCUCCCAGCUCCAGAAUCAUUCGCUGUCUCCACCUCUCCAAGUAGAAAAUCUGUUCUGCUGUCAUGGUCCGCUGCAGGACCCGGGUCACACUUGGUAUCAUAUUCCUUUGCAGAGGGAUUUUCAAAGGAACUGAAGGCUCACUUGUGUUUGGUUUUAGGCUUCGCCUGGAUUGAAGAUAGGAAACCAGUUCCGGGGAACUCUGGCUUUGUCUUGCUUUGGGGUUUGGCCUUACUCACAGGUCCAAAGAGUAAAGCAUCCUCCUCCAGCAGCGAUUCUGGAGUCUGAGCAGGACCUCGGAAGGACAAGACUGACUUUACUAACUCAGAGUAUCUGGUUUGGUCCACUUCUUCAUAGGGGUUUUUCUUCUUUGGACCACAUGAAUAAGAGGAAGUGGAAAAACCAGCAAUGUGGGCUGGUUCUACAGAAAACGCCUUGGACCUGAGCUGCUUGCAAAGGGUCUGAAAUGCCUUCAUCUUCAACUAUUUUCCACUUCCUUAGUCUGUUUGCAAACAACGCGUCGAGUGCCUUUUAAAGUUUGG